UGGGGAAUCUUGCACAAUGGGGGAAACCCUGAUGCAGCGACGCCGCGUGAACGAUGAAGCCCUUCGGGGUGUAAAGUUCUUUCGACAGGAACGAUAAUGACGGUACCUGGAGAAGAAGCUGCGGCUAACUACGUGCCAGCAGCCGCGGUAAUACGUAGGCAGCGAGCGUUGUUCGGAGUUACUGGGCGUAAAGAGUGCGUAGGCGGCGAGCCAAGUUUGGUGUGAAAUCUCCCGGCUUAACCGGGAGGGUGCGCCGAAAACUGGUUGGCUGGAGUAGGGGAGAGGAUAGCGGAAUACCUGGUGUAGCGGUGAAAUGCGUAGAUAUCAGGAGGAACACCUGCGGUGUAGGCAGCUUUCUGGACCAAAACUGACGCUGAGGCACGAAAGCGU
rnacentral:rRNA from 1 species